rnacentral:rRNA from 1 species
UUUCUAAAUUUAUAAUAGAAUUUUAUUUUUUAGUCAAAAAGCUAAAAUAUAUUUAAAAGACGAGAAGACCCUAUAAAUCUUUAUAUUUAGGUUAUUAUAAUUUUAUAGAUUUUUUUUGUUAUAAUAGUUGAUAAUAUUUUAUUGGGGUGAUAUUAAAAUUUGAUAAACUUUUAAUUGUUUAAAUCAUUAAUUUAUGAAUAAUUGAUCCGUUAUUAGCGAUUAAAAAAAUAAGUUACCUUAGGGAUAACAG